GACGAACGCUGGCGGCGUGCUUAACACAUGCAAGUCGAACGGAGUUUCUUGGAUAGAGGUUUCGGCCAAUUGAAUUGAAACUUAGUGGUGGACUGGUGAGUAACGCGUGAGGAACCUGCCUUUCAGAGGGGGACAACAGUUGGAAACGACUGCUAAUACCGCAUGAUACAUUCGGAUGGCAUCUUCUGAAUGUCAAAGAUUUUAUCGCUGAAAGAUGGCCUCGCGUCCCAUUAGAUAGUUGGCGGGGUAACGGCCCACCAAGUCGACGAUGGGUAGCCGGACUGAGAGGUUGACCGGCCACAUUGGGACUGAGAUACGGCCCAGACUCCUACGGGAGGCAGCAGUGGGGAAUAUUGGGCAAUGGACGCAAGUCUGACCCAGCAACGCCGCGUGAAGGAAGAAGGCUUUCGGGUUGUAAACUUCUUUUGUCAGGGAAGAGUAGAAGACGGUACCUGACGAAUAAGCCACGGCUAACUACGUGCCAGCAGCCGCGGUAACAC
rnacentral:rRNA from 1 species